rnacentral:rRNA from 1 species
GAUGAACGCUGGCGGCGUGCCUAAUACAUGCAAGUCGAGCGAACAGACGAGGAGCUUGCUCCUCUGACGUUAGCGGCGGACGGGUGAGUAACACGUGGAUAACCUACCUAUAAGACUGGGAUAACUUCGGGAAACCGGAGCUAAUACCGGAGAAUAUAUUGAACCGCAUGGUUCAAUAGUGAAAGACGGUUUUGCUGUCACUUAUACAUGGAUCCGCGCCGCAUUAGCUAGUUGGUAAGGUAACGGCUUACCAAGGCGACGAUGCGUAGCCGACCUGAGAGGGUGAUCGGCCACACUGGAACUGAGACACGGUCCAGACUCCUACGGGAGGCAGCAGUAGGGAAUCUUCCGCAAUGGGCGAAAGCCUGACGGAGCAACGCCGCGUGAGUGAUGAAGGUCUUCGGAUCGUAAAACUCUGUUAUUAGGGAAGAACAAAUGUGUAAGUAACUAUGCACGUCUUGACGGUACCUAAUCAGAAAGCCACGGCUAACUACGUG